GUAUACUAAUCUGUAUAUUUUAAAAUAUCCUUUAUAGUUUCUGAAAGCAAUAAUGGGACGGAAAUACCUUCUUGCAAAAAAACUGUGUCAGAUGAUUCUAAUAUAUGAACCAGAAAACCCUGAGGCCAAGCAGUUUCUUCCACUUAUUGAGCAAAAAUUGCUGUUGGAAAGUGAACAAGCUGCUGAAGAAGAUGGUGAAGAAACUGGUGAAGAAACCGAUGAAGAAAGCAGUGAUGACAGUGAAGAUAACAGCAAUACAGAUAACAGUGGGACUGAAAGUGAAGAAAGUUCUGAAGAGUCUGAUAAAAAUACCUAAACAUUUUUAAAUGCCCAAAUUGGGUUUUUUAUUCCAUUUGUUUUGAAAUACGUGCUUUACUGAAUUGGUUCACUUGAACUAAUGUUUAAUAACAAUAGUCUCAAGUCCUAUCUCUUUUUGUUAUAAUUACAUUGCUUCCAGGACUCUACUGUUUUAAAUAGAUAUUUUAUGUACAAACACACUGAUCAUGACCUCUCCUAAAUGCAUUAUUUGAUUAGCAGUUUGUGAGAUGAAAAAUAGCUGUGAGUAAAAUGGAAAUUGCCCUUGAGGUAAAUUAUUUUGGUCUUCAGAGCUCAUAUUGUUCCUGGGAAUGGGAGUCAAAACCAUAGUAAAACCCUAGUCCCUAGAAUCUAGCCAUUUAGUGAUCUUGAAAGUAUAGUGCUAGAGGCUUGAUCACAAAUCAUUGCUGUAAUUUUUGAAUCCUUCUGUCCUCAAGGAUCAAGCACCUGCUCUUCCCUGCCUCCUUCCCUGUCCCAGUCUCUUAAAGCACUGGUAUUCAUAUUCAUGCUGGCAUGGGGUGGACAUUUAUGUGCCUGUAUUUGUAUACAGUACUCAAGGAGUUGCAGAAAUCACAAAUGUUAGUGCAAUAUCCAUUUUUAUCUUCUCCAACAAAAUUUCAGCAGAUUGGCUGGAUAGUUGGAUGAGGUUGAGUAGUAAUUCAUAAGACUGUGAAGUUUAGAUGAUUAAUUGGCCUAGUUAACUGGUCAUAUAUGAUAAAAAGAUUAAAUAUUAUCCCUAGUUAAUCAAGACCUCAGAAUCCUCCCACCUGACACUAGAGUUUUAUCAGUGAAGGAGGUUCUGCCAAGAUUAUCAGGGAUCUGGUCAAGGGACCACUAAAUCAUCUCUUUCCAGAUGUUAUCUAGAGAAAUACUAUUAGGCAUUAUGUGGAUGUCCUUUCUUUUAGCGUGUGUGCAUAGUUUGUGUACAAUACUAUGUAAUGGCUUGUGUUUUGUCAGAGAGCUGGUAAACCUUGACAACAUUAGUUUUCUUUAUUCCAAAUGUUAUUUGUACUACUUUGCUGCUAAAGUUAUUUCAGUCAUUUUGGAGUGAGUCUGUUCUCCUUUUCUUUGAUAAGAAAUAGACUCUCAGCCUCUGUGUUGCUGUGACAAUGGCAGCUAGAAAGCUAGGGGAAAACCUUCGAUAGUAGGCUCAGCUCUAAAUGACAUUGUAAGUUCAAAGAGAAAUUGUAACAGCUAAAAUACAAAGAUAGGCACUUCAUCAAGUCACAAGAUGGUCUUAUUGACAGGAGCUGCACCCCACACAGAUAAGAAGCUGCCAAGUCAGUGCCAAAAGUUUCCUGUCUUAUUCCAAAUGUGUGCAUGCUUAGCAAACAACUGUGCUCAUGUUCAAGGUAUAAACAUACUUAAUUUCAUCCUGUACCAUCAGGAUGCUCUUUGUAGAAGUGGGAGAUUUCAAAUUAAAUUUAGCUAUUUCCAAUUUUUAGGUCUGAAAACAGUUUGGUAAAGUAUUUCGUUAUUAUUAUUUUGAUGUUGUGAUGCAUGUUCCCCAAACAUGCACAAAAUCAUUAAUAAAAAUACAAUAGUUACGUAUAAGUAAUUUUCCUUACUAUGCUAUGUUUUAAAUAUAAUUUUAGAAAUUAUCACAAUCUUAUUCAUUAUUACUAAGGAUAUUUUUAAACUGUCCAGAUUAUUUGUGUAUAAAUAAUAAAUAUUCUUAAGGAAUGUUAUAGUAGAUGAUCCUCGCUAUAUAAUCACAUUGAGUAUAUUGUUCCCUGUAUUGAGAGUGCAGCUCAAUAGAAUUUAACCUUUUCUCCUCCCAUCCUCUUAAGUAUCUGAAAGUAGCAUGCCAAAGCCAAUGUAGAAGAUAGAAAUGUUGAGCAUAUCUCUCACAUCCUCAUAUAGGUGUCUUCCACUGAAGAGUACUGUAUCUGGAUAUAAAACAUAGCUAUGUAAGAAUCAGAUCCAUAUUUUUCUUCUUCUUGGAUCAAUUAUAGUUUUCAAAUAUUUUUCUUAUAAUGCAAUUUGGGACCAUGGAACAUUUCAUGGAUAAAUUGGAGUGGAUCAUACUCAGAAUAAAGAUACCCAGGUUACUUUUCCCACUUUAUCUGUCCAUAAUAAUGAAAGAGGUUCUCUGGAUGCAUAUGUCUCUGUGUGGUAGCCAUAAGUCAUUGGAAUAUCAUACUAGAUGUCUUAAAAUCAUCAUAUUCCUUGUGACAUAGCCUGUUUCCAUAACCACUCCCACACAGCUGUCCAACCUUGGCUUAAAGCAGUGGUUCUCAACCUGUGGAUCCCCAGAUGUUUUGGCCUUCAUUUCCCAGAAAUCCUAACAGCUGGUAAACUGGCUGGGAUUUCUGGGAGUUGUAGGCCAAAACACCUGGGGACUCACAGGUUGAGAACCACUGGCUUAAAGUAUGGAAACCUCUGUCUUGUGUGCUUCCCACAUUCUUUUUCUCCCUCUUUCUUGGUAUGGCUGAGAAAGCAAUAUGUUACUCUCCAGCAAAGGCUUUGAAAUCCAGCUGAACACCAAAGGCUGUCCACCUCCAUAUUUGAGGGUGAAAGCUGAGGUUGUAUUUGACAUGAGAUGUAGAAGGUGCUUUGGACAUAGAUCACAAAUCUCAUUCUGGUGCCCUG
rnacentral:lncRNA from 11 species